GCAUGGUGUGAUUAACCUACUAACCAGGGCUCAGCUGGGAUGCUGUGGCGUGUGAUGAGGUGCCUGGCCUUCUGCCAACUGACUAACCCACUAACCAGGCCCGAGCAUGCCCUACUAACCCCCUGCAGCCAGACCCUACUAACU
rnacentral:lncRNA from 1 species